rnacentral:lncRNA from 1 species
CUCCCUUAAUCUUACUGAGUGGAUCUUUUAAGUCUUCUUUACUGGAUACUGGUUAUAUUGUAGGAAGUUAUCAACACUAUGAUGCUUUAUAUUAGAAAAGGAAAUGCAUUUACCCCUUAAACACGUCUCCAGCUUGUGUUUCCAUCCAACCUGCUGUCAGGUCUUCUUCCUUUUUCUACCUGUCAGCAGACAAACAGUAAGUAAGCGCUGCUACCACCUGCAGGAGGGGAGUAGGAAACGUUAUGGCAACGAAAUAUUUAAUUUAAAUAAUUGAUACUCAUUUUGAGACAAAGACACAAUUAAUUAUCGCGUAUAAUCCCUGAAAUAUUUAGCAUAGCUAGAAAUGUCACAAUUCACCAUUUAGAAUGUUAGCUCGAUGCUAAUCCGUUAUGGGGUUUACUAUUUCCGUGCUGACGGAAAUUAGCAUCGCGUCCGCUGGUAAUGAUCAUCUUCAACACUGCAAAGCCGCGUGUGUAAUUCAUCUUACGAAACGUGGAGAAAGACGUCGGCACGGAGAAGGCAAGAUUAUCCCUCCAGUGGAUUUCUACUUGACAGAGAGUGGGCUGCUUUUGAACUUUCACUGACUGAAGCCUCUUCUCACUCCCUAGCUGCUCAUGAGACACAAGUGGCUCAGACAUAUGGGGGGUGGGGGGCUUGCAAAGAGGGUGAUGUCAGACGCAGAGAAAAAAGAAAAAGUCGAGGGAGAGAAGCUUCAGGGAAUGAAGGAGGAGAUACGAAAUAAUCAAAGAAAUGAUAUCGUAGAAGCCGAACAGAGCUGCUUCUAUGAUGGAAACACCUGCAAACUGUCAGAGUCACCAAAUACACAAUAUCCAUGUUCAACCUCUGCAUGUUUUGUUGGGCUGGUAGCUUGUUAGUAUGAUUAUUUUCUAGAAUGCAAUGAAAACUAAAAUCUGUCAUUUUUUAAUGUGAUUAAAAAAAAGAGAUGA